rnacentral:lncRNA from 1 species
AGAGAGAGAUUAGUUUUCUAAACCCAUCGCAAAGUGAAGGGAUAGCUGAUUGUCAUCCCAUUUUUGAGACCUCAGUCAUCCUUCUGCGUGCAUCACCACAACUAAGAGGAAGGAAAGAGCACUGGAUGUGGAGUGAGGAGACAUGGAUUCUGUCACUACCCUGCUCUGCAGAACCCAAUAGUAUGUCAUUGAAACAAAACAAUACAAAACCCUGUCUACAAAAGAAGACUCAUAAGUCAACAAUAACUCGGGUUUCAUAAAGGAAGAAAGUCUUAGAGGAGGAAAAUCAACCCAUUCAAAUACAGGAGCAUCUGCUUAACACAAGACGGAACGAACCCCGCUGCCAGACCGGUGGUGUGGGCAGGCGAAUGUGUGCGUGUGCAUAGGAACAAGCCUAUAUAUGGAUGAGACAUUAGUGGCAACGAGAGGAGAGCCACCACGAUUGACAAAGCCACAACUAUUACGAUUUGAAAUAUCCCCCGCAGGCACUGACUUUUGGUGCCAGAAUCUCCCCGGAUUUAUUUUCAGGCAAGUGACUCACAACCUGGUCUCCAUAAGUAAUUCCAUUAAAAUGAGUCGCCGGUUCCACUAACCCGA